rnacentral:rRNA from 1 species
AUUGAACGCUGGCGGCAUGCUUUACACAUGCAAGUCGAACGGUAACAGGCCGCAUGGUGCUGACGAGUGGCGAACGGGUGGGUAAUGCAUCGGUACGUGCCCAGUCGUUGGGGAUAACUACUCGUAAGAGUAGCUAAUCCCGUAUACGAUCUAUGGAUGAACGCGGGGGACCGUAAGGCCUCGCGCGAUUGGAUCGGCCGAUGUGAGAUUAGGUAGAUGGUGGGGUAGAGGCUGACCAAGCCGACGAUCGGUAGCUGUUCUGAGAGGACGACCAGCCACAUGGGCAGUGAGACAGGGCCGAGACUCCUACGGUAGGCCGCAGUCGGGAAUGUUAGGCAAUGGGGGCGAGCAUGAUCCAGCAAGAGGGCGUGCAGGAAGAAGACGCUAGGGUGGGAAACUGAUUUUGUACGGAGCAAAACGGCUCUGGUUAAUACGCGGCGCUAAUGACGGUACCGGAAGAAGAAGCACCGGCUAACUACGUG